ACCGUGAAACGCCGCAGCCGGCUUGCGGAGCGGUUGCCGCGCCCUCCGCCGGGUUUCUUGUGCCCGCCUCCGAGCCUGAGGAAACAGCUGAUUGAUCAGCCUGGCUCAGGCUUGGGGCGGGGAUUGGCUGAUUGGCAGCAACGCCACGGGACAGCCAAGCUGGAAGCCUGAGGAGCCGGAGCGGGUGCUGGCUGCCGCGCGGCGGAGUGUGUUUUAUGGACCAUGUGCUGCUAUGUAUGCCUGAAGAAGUACUUGAAAUGCAAAUUUGGGGAGACUUUGCCAUAUAAAUGCUUGGCUGGAUUAAGCGCCUAAUUAGGAUGGUUUUUCAUCAAGUUGGAGUAAGCAUGCAAUCGGUACUUUGGUCUAGGAAGCCAUAUGGUUCGUCUCGAAGUAUCGUAAGGAAAAUUGGUACUAAUUUGUCUCUGAUUCAGUGUCCAAGAGUUCAGUUUCAGGUACUAUAUUUUAUGUAUUUUAAGUAUUUUAUUAAUAUGUACAUUAGAAAUAUAAAUAGGCAAGAUGGUUUUAAAAGUAUUUUGUUUUUGAGACUUUUUACCAAUUGAUGCCACUAUCAGUACAAUAAAAGAGGAUUAAAAACCACCAUUAAGCCUUUCUAAUUUUAGUUUCUCUGUGAAGUGAUUGAGAUCUUUAAGACAUUUAUCCUUCUUAAGGAUGCAUAUGUGAAGAUAUAGGAGCAUAUAAUAAGCUAAGCAGUUGUUAAUUCCUAGGUGACUUCAAACAUAGGCUUUAUAUUAUUUCAGGUGCUUUAUGUACCACCAUUAUUUUUCUUCUGUAAUUAUACCUUCCUCUUUGGAUAGCCACUCAGUUCCCCUGAUUUAUUUUUAGAUCUCUGUGUAUGCCAUAUAAGUUGCUUUCCCUGUCAUUGGUUUCACGCUCAGCAUUAAUUAUGGGAUCCAUUGCCUCAGCAAUGACAGUGUCAAGACAAAAAGGUAAUUCUGGUUCUCUCAGUGAGGUGAUACUCAAACCAUGAGUUAGAACUUUUGAAAGUCUUAGUCUUAGAAUUUUUGAAGGUCUUAGUACAGUAUUCUCUUUUAGCACCAAAUCUGGAGCAACUCUGUUCUUUGCUUGGAGAUAUUGCUAUUUUCCUUGAUUUGUACUUUUGUUCCUUUCUUUUUUUUUUUU